UCAAUAUGCCUUAUUUUAUACAUGAGGAUGAUGUAGAAGUAAUAAUUGUAUAUAUACAAUUUCAAGGCCAAAUAGAAACAAAUCGAAAUAAUAUCCCAAAAAUUAAGGGUUAUGUUGAACAAAUAAUUCCGUCAUUUAGCGCAAUGGAAUUAAAAAAUCAUUUCAGAAUGUUACCACAGACAUUCGAAUUCAUUUUAGAGCAGAUUGCAAAUCAAUUACAACGAUUUAUAAAUGGCAAUGAAAUGAUAUCUCCAGAAAAGCAGUUUUUAAUUGCUUUGUAGCGUAUGGCAACGCCAGAUUCAUAUAGAUCAAUUCAUACUAGAUUUGGUGUUGGAAAAGGUACAUCUGUUAGAGCAGUACAGAGGGUUAGGCAAGCAUUGUGUAAUCUUGCUUCAAAAUUUAUUCAAUAGCUAACAAGAGAAAAAAUGGAAAAAAUUAAAGAAGGUUUUUCUCGUAUUGGUGCUUUUCCAAGAGUUAUUGGAGCAAUUGAUGGCACCCACAUAAAUAUACCAGCUCCUAAUAAGCAUGCAGAAGCUUACGUUAAUAGGAAAGGACAUCAAUUCAAGCUCAAGUAGUCUGUGAUCAUACGUAUCUAUUUACACAUGUGUACGUUGGAAACGUAGGAUCCGUACACGAUGCUCGGAUAUUUAGAUUGUCAGCUGUACAAGACUACAUUUCAGAUGCAUCAAAGUUUCCCAGUGACUGUCACUUGAUAGAAGAUGCUGCUUAUCCCCUGUUAAAACAGUUAAUGGUGCCAUAUGUAGAUAAUGGCCAUCUGAUAUAUCGUCAGAAGAAUUACAAUUUCUGCCUUUCAUCUUGUCGCAUGGGUGUUGAAAGAGCUAUUGGCUUGUUAAAAGGACGUUGAAGAAGCCUCCUUCAUCAUUUGGCCAUGGGAUGUGUGGAACGUAUUUCCUAUCAUUUUUUAGCGUGUUGUGUGUUACAUAUGUUUAAUGAAAAAAAACGAAAUAGAAGCAGUUAUCGUAAAUACAGACAUAGCACACCCUUAACCACAAAUACAAGAUAUAGAGCAAAACAGAGGUGAAGCAGAAGCUAAACGAGAUUUUGUGUGCUCUAUAUUUCGUAUGAGAGAAGUAUGAAAAAAACUGUGA